GACGAACGCUGGCGGCGUGCCUAAUACAUGCAAGUCGAGCGAUGAAGCUUGGUGCUUGCGGGGAUCUGAAGAGGAGCGAGCGGGUGAGUAACGCGAGGGGACUCUGCCUUUGAGCGGGGGACAACCAUUGGAAACGAAUGCUAAUAGCGCAUAACAACUUUAAACAUGGGGUGGAAGGGUGAAAGAUGCAAUUGCAGCACUGAAAGAUGAUCCCGCGGUGUGUUAGUUAGUUGGUGAGGUAAAGGGUCACCAAGGGGAUGAUACAUAGCCAACCUGAGAGGGUGGUCGGCCACAUUGGGACUGUGACACGGCCCAAACGCCUACGGGAGGCAGCAGUAGGGAAUCUUCGGCCAUGGGCGGAAGUCUGACCGAGCAACGCCGCGGGAGGGAAGAAGGUUUUCGGGUCGGAAAACUCGGUUGGUAGGGAAGAACGUUGGUGAGAGUGGAAAGCACAGCGAGUGACGGUAACGGCCCAGAAAGCAGCGGCUAACUACGUG
rnacentral:rRNA from 1 species